UAGGGAAUCUUCCGCAAUGGACGCAAGUCUGACGGAGCAACGCCGCGUGAGUGAAGAAGGAUUUCGGUUCGUAAAACUCUGUUGUUAGAGAAGAACAGCGCAUAGAGUAACUGUUAUGCGUGUGACGGUAUCUAACCAGAAAGCCACGGCUAACUACGUGCCAGCAGCCGCGGUAAUACGUAGGUGGCAAGCGUUGUCCGGAUUUAUUGGGCGUAAAGCGAGCGCAGGCGGUUAGAUAAGUCUGAAGUUAAAGGCAGUGGCUCAACCAUUGUAGGCUUUGGAAACUGUUUAACUUGAGUGCAGAAGGGGAGAGUGGAAUUCCAUGUGUAGCGGUGAAAUGCGUAGAUAUAUGGAGGAACUCCGGUGGCGAAAGCGGCUCUCUGGUCUGUAACUUACGCUGAGUCUCGAAAGCGUGGGGAGCGAACAGG
rnacentral:rRNA from 1 species